rnacentral:misc_RNA from 1 species
AGGAUUUAUAUUCCUAAUUAAGUGCAGUAAUUAUAUGAUAAUUUUAUAUAAAUAUGUAAAGUUCUAUUUUAUAGAUUUAAUGAGAAUGAUAAAGAUGUAUUUUCUUUGUUCUUUCCUUCUCUUCUUUUUCUUCCCUUUUUUUCUUUUUAUUCUUUUAUUUUUAAAUCUUAACACUUAUAAUGGUUGGGAGUUGAGGCAACUCCUGCUUACAAAGCUAAGCAAUAAUUUGAGUAGCAAGUAGGAAUGCCUUUCAUAUACCAUUUUCUUUAUUUAUUUCCCCUUUGAGCUUUUAGAUACUUCUGCAAUUUAUUGAUGCCUUCACUAAUUAUCUUUAUGUCCUUUUCUGUUUGAUAGUAAUGACUUGCAUUUUCAAUAAACAAUCUAAAUUCUUAAGUUAAUUUACUGUAGACAUACAGCAUGCUAUUUAUGUAACCAUGUAUCUUUUUAGGUUUUCACUUUUGAAGAUUUAUGUUGUGUUAUGUUUAUCAGUGUCUUAAACAUAGUUGCAUGUUUGAAAAUUCCCAUGGAAUGGUCUCUGAAAAUUUGUUGUAUAUCUGUUUCUAGUCACGUAAUAGUUAAACAUACAUAGAUAAUCUUUAAAUACGAGGUAGGUUAAUGUUUUGAGAACCAUGUUUUGGAAUUUUUAUGCUUAUAAAGUCUAGUUUACACAAUGGGAAUCCUUUUGCCUUCACUUGCAAUUUAAGGUGGCAGUACAGUGCAUGCGACGAGUAAUUCAAAAGAAAGCAAAAUUUGAUAUUAUGGAUCUUGCUAAAGGUUGGUCACUGCCUUUUAGAGUGUAAAUAAACUGCUUUUGUUUGAGAAGUGAUACUCAUUGUAUAUGUUAUUUAUAAUUAUGCAGAGCUGUUGAACUUGAACUGAAUAUUUACUUUUGUUUUUUUUUGGUCAAAUGAUUAAAAGUCACAACCUUUCCAAAUUAUCAAUUCUAGACAAUGUUUUUAAUUUUAUCAAUUUUGUUUGCAACCUUUAUGAUUGUGUCAGUAGAAACCCUAAUUCAAGGGUUUCUACCUCUCGGCAGAAGACGAAAGAGAGAAUUAGGGAGAAAGAGAAGGAGAUUGAGUAGAGAAGAGAGAAUUUAGAGAGAAGAAGAAGAUCAAUUUCUUUAUUCGAUUUAGAAUGAGAAAGGGAGGACAAAUUCUAUUGUUCCACAAUAAAGUAGUUUUUAUCAAUUUGAAUUGGAUUGCUAAAUUGAAACAAAUUCUAAUGGUUGUGACUUUUUUUUUUAUAAAAAAAGAGAAAAUCUUUAAACACGAUCGUUUCAUUGCUUUGAACAACAUGUUAAUGUUCAUUGAUGCUGGCAGGUUGCACCCAAAACAUUUAUUCCUGCUUUAUUUGGACAUGCU